GCGAACGCUGGCGGCAGGCCUAACACAUGCAAGUCGAACGAGCACUUCGGUGCUAGUGGCAGACGGGUGAGUAACGCGUGGGAACGUGCCCUUUGGUUCGGAACAACUCAGGGAAACUUGAGCUAAUACCGAAUGUGCCCUUCGGGGGAAAGAUUUAUCGCCAUUGGAGCGGCCCGCGUUGGAUUAGGUAGUUGGUGGGGUAAAGGCUCACCAAGCCUACGAUCCAUAGCUGGUCUGAGAGGAUGAUCAGCCACACUGGGACUGAGACACGGCCCAGACGCCUACGGGAGGCAGCAGUGGGGAAUCUUGCGCAAUGGGCGAAAGCCUGACGCAGCCAUGCCGCGUGAAUGAUGAAGGUCUUAGGAUUGUAAAAUUCUUUCAGCAGGGACGAUAAUGACGGUACCUGCAGAAGAAGCCCCGGCUAACUUCGU
rnacentral:rRNA from 1 species